GACGUAGGAGGCGAGCGUUAUCCGGAUUCACUGGGCGUAAAGCGCAUGUAGGCGGAUGUCUAAGUCGUGUGUUAAAGCCCCUGGCUCAACUGGGGGAGGUCAUGCGAGACUGGAUGACUUGAGGGCAACAGAGGCACGUGGAACUCCCGGUGUAGCGGUGGAAUGCGUAGAGAUCGGGAAGAACACCCGUGGCGAAGGCGGCGUGCUGGGUUGCAACUGACGCUGAGAUGCGAAAGCAUGGGGAGCGAACAGG
rnacentral:rRNA from 1 species